rnacentral:rRNA from 1 species
AGCGGCGGACGGGUGAGUAACGCGUGGGUAACCUGCCCUGUACACACGGAUAACAUACCGAAAGGUAUGCUAAUACGAGAUAAUAUACUUUUAUCGCAUGGUAGAAGUAUCAAAGCUUUUGCGGUACAGGAUGGACCCGCGUCUGAUUAGCUAGUUGGUAAGGUAACGGCUUACCAAGGCGACGAUCAGUAGCCGACCUGAGAGGGUGAUCGGCCACAUUGGAACUGAGACACGGUCCAAACUCCUGCGGGAGGCAGCAGUGGGGAAUAUUGCACAAUGGGCGAAAGCCUGAUGCAGCAACGCCGCGUGAGCGAUGAAGGCCUUCGGGUCGUAAAGCUCUGUCCUCAAGGAAGAUAAUGACGGUACUUGAGGAGGAAGCCCCGGCUAACUACGUGCCAGCAGCCGCGGUAAUACGUAGGGGGCUAGCGUUAUCCGGAAUUACUGGGCGUAAAGGGUGCGUAGGUGGUUUCUUAAGUCAGAGGUGAAAGGCUACGGCUCAACCGUAGUAAGCCUUUGAAACUGGGAAACUUGAGUGCAGGAGAGGAGAGUGGAAUUCCUAGUGUAGCGGUGAAAUGCGUAGAUAUUAGGAGGAACACCAGUUGCGAAGGCGGCUCUCUGGACUGUAACUGACACUGAGGCACGAAAGCGUGGGGAGCAAACAGGAUUAGAUACCCUGGUAGUCCACGCCGUAAACGAUGAGUACUAGCUGU